rnacentral:rRNA from 1 species
UACGGGGGGGGCAAGCGUUGUUCGGAAUUACUGGGCGUAAAGAGCUCGUAGGCGGCCUGUCGCGUCUGCUGUGAAAUCCCGGGGCUUAACCCCGGGCGUGCAGUGGAUACGGGCUGGCUGGAGGCAGGCAGGGGAGAACGGAAUUCCCGGUGUAGCGGUGAAAUGCGCAGAUAUCGGGAGGAACACCGGUGGCGAAGGCGGUUCUCUGGGCCUGUACUGACGCUGAGGAGCGAAAGCGUGGGGAGCGAACAGG